rnacentral:rRNA from 1 species
GCAAGUCGAACGGUACAGGACUAGCUUGCUAGUUGCUGACGAGUGGCGGACGGGUGAGUAACGCGUAGGAAUCUACCCAUCUGAGGGGGAUACCAGUUGGAAACGACUGUUAAUACCGCAUAGUAUCUGUGGAUUAAAGGUGGCUUUUGGGCUGUCGCAGAUGGAUGAGCCUGCGUUGGAUUAGCUAGUUGGUGGGGUAAGGGCCUACCAAGGCUACGAUCCAUAGCUGAUUUGAGAGGAUGAUCAGCCACAUUGGGACUGAGACACGGCCCAAACUCCUACGGGAGGCAGCAGUGAGGAAUAUUGGACAAUGGGGGCAACCCUGAUCCAGCAAUGCCAUGUGUGUGAAGAAGGCCUUAGGGUUGUAAAGCACUUUAGUUGGGGAAGAAAGCUUUGAGGUUAAUAGCCUUGAGGAAAAGGACGUUACCCAAAGAAUAAGCACCGGCUAACUCCGUGCCAGCAGCCGCGGUAAUACGGGGGGUGCAAGCGUUAAUCGGAAUUACUGGGCGUAAAGGGUCUGUAGGUGGUUUGUUAAGUCAGAUGUGAAAGCCUAGGGCUCAACCUUGGAACUGCAUUUGAUACUGGUAAACUAGAGUACGGUAGAGGAAUGGGGAAUUUCUGGUGUAGCGGUGAAAUGCGUAGAGAUCAGAAGGAACACCAAUGGCGAAGGCAACAUUCUGGACCGAUACUGACACUGAGGGACGAAAGCGUGGGGAUCAAACAGGAUUAGAUACCCUGGUAGUCCACGCUGUAAACGAUGAGUACUAGCUGUUGGAGUCGGUGUAAAGGCUCUAGUGGCGCAGCUAACGCGAUAAGUACUCCGCCUGGGGACUACGGCCGCAAGGCUAAAACUCAAAGGAAUUGACGGGGACCCGCACAAGCGGUGGAGCAUGUGGUUUAAUUCGAUGCAACGCGAAGAACCUUACCUGGUCUUGACAUCCUGCGAUCUUUCUAGAGAUAGAUUGGUGCCUUCGGGAACGCAGUGACAGGUGCUGCACGGCUGUCGUCAGCUCGUGUUGUGAAAUGUUGGGUUAAGUCCCGCAACGAGCGCAACCCCUAUUGAUAGUUACCAUCAUUAAGUUGGGUACUCUAUUGAGACUGCCGCUGACAAGGCGGAGGAAGGUGGGGACGACGUCAAGUCAUCAUGGCCUUUACGACCAGGGCUACACACGUGCUACAAUGGGUAU